UUCAAUCUAAUCUCAUCUUCAUCCAAGUAGAGAGUGAAGAGUGUCCACUCCAAGUUGAGAGUGUUGUAGUUGUUAGGUAGCAAAACAAGUGUGAGAGAGAGUUUCCUUCAAGUAGUAUUCUUGAAGUUGUGUAUCUCUUGUACCCACCUUAUCAUAGUGGAAGUUCAUGUUGUUGCUGACCCGUGGACGUAGGCACCUUACCAAACCACGUUAUAUCCGGUGUUCCUUUUCCUUUACCCCUUUAUUUCUUUGCAUAUUAUCCUUUUGUGGUUGGAGUUAUUAUUUCCAUUCUAUUAAUUUUCCCAACACAAUGUACUGCCCUGUUAUUUGAUUUGGAGAUUACUCUACCUAUGGUUUUCUCUGGUACAUAACUAUAUACAUAUGGUUGUCAUCUUUUAGCACCAUAUUUGAAUCAUUUUUCUUUUUGCUGUACUAAAAACCUUUUGGUUGAGUGUAUCUUCAAAAUAGCCUCCUUUUCACUCCAUUGAUUUCUGUAAGAAAAAUUCUUAUUCAGUUCUCAUUGGACAAUUUGGGGUUUUGGUGACACCCAAAGUGUUUGUAAUGAAUUUCUGAAGUUUGGAAAUUCUGGAAAUUCAUUUAAAUAAAAAGAAAUUUCUGCGGUGCAAUCCUAACCAUCCAUAAAUCCACAGCUUCAUCCUAGCCAUUAAAAUAGAUUGAGCUUGGGGCUAUAAAUACCCUUGAUCAGAUCAAGGAUCGUGAUCAAUUGCUCCUAGAUAGCUCGAGAGAGCAUCAGAGCUCUCUGACCCGGACACAGCCGCGACCCAAGAAAGAAACCCGACCAGAGUGACACCGUCCGACCACCGAUCGACGACUCACGACCAUUGAUCUCUUCCUCUAGUCAUCGCUGUCACGCCUGUGGGAUUCGAUCGCCCAUGCACCAAACGAGGAGUCAGAAAUGACAGUGAGAAGUUCUGACUGCUCCGGCGAAGUUCAGCAAUUUCCGGCCACCGUCUGGGCCGCAUUCGCUCGGGUUCGACGCUGUUGCUACGCCGACGACUUUUCCGACGCGUCUGGGCUUGGUUUCUGGUACGAAUGCUUCUGUAGAUGAGGUCUAACCCUGUUUGGAAGUCCAGUUCUCAAGAUUCCUGGGUGAAACGUCAAAGCUUUGGUAUCAAUUCGUCCCCGGGUUUCCAGAAAGCUGCUAAGAGGGAGUUGGAACCCAGACUACAAAUCGGAGUUGUUGAAGGUAAACUCGGAAGUUCUGCUCAAAUCGUUAUACCUGAAAGCUAAGGAACUAUGUUGGUUAUGCGAUGUUGAUUGCAUGAACAGAAUGGGUGUUUGUGUCUUGGUUUGAAUAGAUGAAGUUGUAUGGUUUGGUG